GCUGUAGCUCAGUUGUAGAGCAUCUGUCCUGCAUGCAGAAGGUCCCAGGUUCAGUCCCCAGCAUCUCCA